UCGAGCUCGUGGCGCUGCGCGAGCCCGACGCCGGCCUGCCGCGCGUGCGCGCCGCCUUCCACGCGCACGUGUGGCCCGGCCUCGUGCGCACGCCCCGCCAGCCCGCCGAUUCUCGCGAGCCCGACCUCCCUUCGGCGGCGGAGUCGGAGUCGGCGGAGUCGGACGACGAGUGGUCGGAGUGGUGCGCGGGCCCGGGCGCGGAGGACGCGUUCGCGGCGGCGUUGGCGGCGCUGCCGGGCGCGGCGGCGGCGGCGCGCGCGCUGCCCGCCGACCGUGCCGAGCGCCUGGCGCGCGCCGAGAACUUGGUCGCGGCCUUCUGUCGCGCCCUCGGCACUCCGUUGGACUGACGUUAGUUAUGUCAUUUUAUACAACUCUCUUAUUCCGUGAGUCGAUUGUGAUUCUUAUAUUGAUAUUGAUUGACUACCGCAGGUGUUUAUUACGUGCCCAGAUAUUUGAUUAACCACUUGUAGUGAGUGAAUUCUCUGUAUAUUAGCUUAAUAUACAAACAGUGGAGUGGGCUUAAUAUACAAACGGUUUUGCCUAUAAAGCUUAAAUAAAUAUUUUUUAAUCUCUUAAGUUCUUAAUGUUUUAAUACCGGUAUCGUUACAUUACAGCCAAUGAGCUGCUGUCACAGUGACAUUUACAUAAGUAAUGUCUCAAUAUCACCCUAGAAACGUCAGAAUCACCGAUUUAUAGAGAAUGGUCAUAAUAGAGCUCCGUGCGCUUUUAUAGUGAUUAUUUGUAUUGUAAAUGAGGCAAUAUGUAUAUGUAUGUACAAGUUAAAUAUCCAGUGUUUUAUUUAUGAGAAUAGAUCUACUGGCCUUCUAACAGUACCUAAUUAAAUAUCACACACAUAGACAGCAAUUAAUCGUGCAACAAAUAAAACACAAAAACUAAAAUCAUCGUUUUAUUGUGUUAGAUUACAUGUAUAAGAGGCAUGUCGGCACUGAAUGUUCCAAACAUCAGUAGUUUGCUUUGGAGCAUUCACUAACAUAAUACCACAGAACUGCCUGUUGAUAAAGACAAACUCAGCGUUAUAUCAACAAACUUAAGAUUCGGGUAACUUCGACCUUUUAUAUUUUAAACUAAAUUCUAAAGCUUUUGCUAAAGAGAAGUUAUCCUACGUGUAAGCUCGAAAUUUCAGCGUGGUUUUGAGAGCGCGUAUGAUGAAGCAUUUGUGCUAAGCACUUACAACCAUACAAACCUAUUCAUGGAUCACAUGAUCACAUCGCUUUGCCCUCAGACAUGGUGGUUAGUUCGGGUUCCCGAUACCGAAUUAAUGGAUGUUAUCAAGAUUAAAUUAUUUUAAUUCGACUUGAUAUUCGAUUCCCUAUAAUGGAUGUUAGGCUUCAUGUAAACAUGAGAUGGAUCCACAUGCACAGCACUCAUAUAAAUGUGAUAUGUACCUUUAAAUUUGUUUAUUUAUUACGAUCAUGAUUUAAGAAAAAUAUGUGCAAUGGAGCCGAGAUUCCUUUAAUUGACACGGUCUUAAAGUUCUCCAUAAAAGCGUUUAGGCAAUUAUGUAGGUAAGUAUGAUAUGUGAAGUUUAUUUACAGAAUUGAUAUCAAAUAAAGGCACUAAUAAUUGUGUAGAUUUAGUUAACACUUGUUAAAUCUUGAUAAAUUUGACAUCCAAAGGCCUAAAAUAUUACUUUGAAAGUAUUAUUAUUAUUUCCAAAUACAAUCCAGGCGAUGUCUUUGUUAGCUUAUUUUAAAGGUUAGGUUACAGAAUCCAUUCUGUUAAAAUACGUAAAAAAAACUUACAAAAUAUGUAACCAUACAUACUUAUUAAAAUACUUGUGGGUCCCGACUCCCGAAUCAAUCGAGGAUUUCGUUUUUUUUUUUUCAAAUCAUGUUAAUCCUUCAAGAUAUUCACUUGUUUGUAUCUAAUAAUAUCCACAUUCCACACAUUUCAUCGGCGAAACAUUCAAGGACACAAAAAAUGUUAAUACAUAAAUUCAUUUUAAAAUUAUAUAAAUAUAAUAUAAACUCAACAAUUUACAUAAAAUUUGUCAUUUUAAAAAACAUUUAACAAACAACAGCAGUACCUACCUCUAAAGCCCUGUCUCUGAGCACGUAAAAUUUUGUCCAAUGACCCUAAGGAUGGGUAUCUUGGGGUCAUUGGCAAAAUUCUACGUGCUCGGCAACCAGACUAUAGCAUGAACAACUUUCGUCUUCGAAUCGUUUGCGUAUUCAACAAAAUUCGAUACACAACCUUCUAAUUAAAAGAUAACGUGACAAUUUUGAUGCUCAAUAUAAGUUCCGUGCCACCAUUUUUCAUACUAAGUUCACUUUACGACACGUUCACAAGGGCGCUGUUGUAGUUUUUGAACUAAAUCUUUUGAUGGCAAUUCGAAUACGCAAACGAUUCGAACUCGAAAGUUUUUCGUGCUAGCCGUACAGUUUAUAAUAACUACUCCAUAAUGUUCUCGAGCGGCGCUGUGUAAUAGUCUCCAUGCACCAAAAGUAUUGAAAUUCACCUAUUUUCUUACAAAUAAAGGCAAAAAUUUCAAUUCCUGU